rnacentral:rRNA from 1 species
GACGAACGCUGGCGGCGUGCCUAAUACAUGCAAGUAGAACGCUGAAGGAGGAGCUUGCUUCUCUGGAUGAGUUGCGAACGGGUGAGUAACGCGUAGGUAACCUGCCUGGUAGCGGGGGAUAACUAUUGGAAACGAUAGCUAAUACCGCAUAAGAUUGACUAUUGCAUGAUAGUCAGUUAAAAGGUGCGAUUGCAUCACUACCAGAUGGACCUGCGUUGUAUUAGCUAGUUGGUGGGGUAACGGCUCACCAAGGCGACGAUACAUAGCCGACCUGAGAGGGUGAUCGGCCACACUGGGACUGAGACACGGCCCAGACUCCUACGGGAGGCAGCAGUAGGGAAUCUUCGGCAAUGGACGGAAGUCUGACCGAGCAACGCCGCGUGAGUGAAGAAGGUUUUCGGAUCGUAAAGCUCUGUUGUAAGAGAAGAACGAGUGUGAGAGUGGAAAGUUCACACUGUGACGGUAUCUUACCAGAAAGGGACGGCUAACUACGUG